GAAUCUGGCUUCAGGUUCGGGACAACUACUGGAAACGGUGGCUAAUACCGAAUGUGCCGCAAGGUGAAAGAUUAAUUGCCUGAAGAUGAGCUCGCGUCUGAUUAGCUAGUAGGUGUGGUAAGAGCGCACCUAGGCGACGAUCAGUAGCUGGUCUGAGAGGAUGAUCAGCCACACUGGGACUGAGACACGGCCCAGACUCCUACGGGAGGCAGCAGUGGGGAAUUUUCCGCAAUGGGCGAAAGCCUGACGGAGCAAUACCGCGUGAGGGAGGAAGGCUCUUGGGUCGUAAACCUCUUUUCUCAGGGAAGAAAACAAUGACGGUACCUGAGGAAUCAGCAUCGGCUAACUCCGUGCCAGCAGCCGCGGUAAUACGGAGGAUGCAAGCGUUAUCCGGAAUGAUUGGGCGUAAAGCGUCCGCAGGUGGCUGUGUAAGUCUGCUGUUAAAGAGUGAGGCUCAACCUCAUAAGAGCAGUGGAAACUACACGGCUAGAGUGCGUUCGGGGCAGAGGGAAUUCCUGGUGUAGCGGUGAAAUGCGUUGAGAUCAGGAAGAACACCGGUGGCGAAAGCGCUCUGCUAGGCCGCAACU
rnacentral:rRNA from 1 species